AAUCGGUGCCCUGUGUGUAAGAGAAGGAACUGCUGGGAAGCUCCUUGCAUAUUCCCAUCCCCAGCAUUUUUUUAUUUUUUAAGCACUGGAGGCUUUGUUGUAUUAACGUGUAUUUAUUGGGCAGGUCAGAUAAAAGCACACGCAAAAUCAGUAUUCAUAUUUCUGAAGGAGAAUCGCUUACAGGAUCCUUCACAGCAUUUGAAAAGGUGUGCUGGCCUGAAUCUGCCCAAGAAAUGCAGUUCUGCUGAGGAUGAUUUUGAUCUCUUUGGCUAUUUUAUGCCAAGCCAGAGAAGAAGCAAGAUCAUCACCCUCCUUCCGCAGACUGAAUGAUCAUUGGAAGGAUUGGAAGAAUGAAAAUUGGCUUAGCAGGGCGUAGCACCUUUGAAUUUAGAAAUUCCUACACUAAAUGCACAAGAAAGUAAAAUCUGCUGGCAGACCUUCCCCUAGAAAUGCUCUCAAGCCCCCAGCUUAAACUCAUUUCUCAUCAGCCAGGUGCUAAAGUGCACAUUUCAGUCCUGUCCAUGUCCGUGGGACUUAGCCCAGCCCUUCCAGGCAAACUGCAAAUCAAUUUCUUUGCCUCGCUUGUCCUGCAGCCAUUUGCUACAACCAACUUCUGUGGCUGAUGCACGAUCUCAUGAAGAAAUCAGUUGUGUUUUUGUUUGAAAUCACGCAGAAGUUUGAGAAGCCAGAGAAAUCCCCCAGUCCCGCAAGACAGCGCAGGCACAUCAUGUCGGCGGCAACUGGUGCAAAUCUGUUCGGUGCUGUCACCGUUACGAGCGCUGCCGAGAGCUGAGGGGCCGGUCCCCGCUCACUGCAGCCCUUCGCAAGUGUCUGGUCGCAUCCUUGUGUCGUCUCACAGUUCGGGUUUGUUUUGGCACUUGAAGAAGCUGCUUUUGCCACUUAGAGAAAGGAAUGGGAGGUCAGAGAAGAGAAUAUGAGCAUCUGAUUUCAGCAGUGGCAUUUGAUUUCAAACCAGACGGUCAGCCUGGAAAGCCUCUACAUCUGAUCUGCCUGGUACAUCCUUUGUGCAUGGACUUGAAAAUUUGUUCAGAUCCGACAGACCCAAAUGGUGAUCUGUCGUGCACUCGGAGGCGAAAUAAUGUGCUUUAGGAGAGCGCGAUAGGAUCUGCUAAGGCUGCAGUCCCUGACACUGCCAGCCGGGUGCCUCCGUCCCGCCGGAGCAAAGCCAUCAGGAUCCGUGCCGGGCUGAUGAGAGCGUGACCGCAGUGGCGGGUGCUUGCAAUGCACUGGCAAUGCAUGGCUUAGACACGCCGCCUUCACUGGCCCCCUCCUGCAGGCCACGAAACUCCUCGUGACUGAAGAAAAUACCUGUUCUUGGGCAGGAAGAAAUAAACACUUCAGGGUUUUGUUUUUAACCCUCUUGGAAUAUUUUAUUAUAAAUGUAUGGGAAAAAAAUUUAGCUGAGCUGUGAUAUGGAAGACACAUAAAUUUAAAAAGAUCAGGUGAAUGUUGAGCCCCAGUAAAUAUCUCCUGACACAACCCUCCCCUCCCAGCCUUCGCUGCACGAAGAGCAGAGUGACUUAUCUCCUUCCUAAUGGCAGGGAGGAGAGGUUCUGCCUGCAGACCUCUUUGUGCCCGAGGUGAGAGCUUGAGCUCGGCAGGGUGAGUCACGUAGAAAAGCAUCCCUGGAGUCGUGGGCCUCUGAUUUGCCUGAGACAGCAGAGCCGGGGCAAGCAGCAAAAUGCAAAAAUGCUGUUAUCAUUUAAGCACCUGAUUUCCAAGUUUCAGGGUAAAUUUCCUGUGCUGCUUCAGGUUUGGUUUUGAAUACUCUUUUCUAUGUAAAUGUCACCAAUUAACUAAAUGAGUCCUCUUCCACACAGACAGGACUUGUGAAUUCACAGAAAUCAGAAACCGCACCUGAUGGAGGAACUCAGAGAGCCAAUGUUUGAUGUUGGUCUUCUUUUAUUUGAAUCUUCUGUCCUUUAAGAGCACAGAAGUAAGGGAGGGCUUUGUGCACACAGCAAGCGCGCUGGAGGUGCUGCAGAGCAGCGACCGCAUCUUUCGGCUGCGCGAGCAUCACUUGUGAGCACUACGUGCCACCUUGGCCUGCAACAGGCAGCGCCAGAGUCUUCUCAGCUGAAAUUUUACCCCUGAACUUCAUGAGACCGAAUUAGUGAAUGUAAUUCUCAUUUUAAACUGCACAAAUUCCACCUGUUUUCCAUAAGCAAAUCCUGACCGAUGAUCUAUGGGGGGUCUGAACCAGCAUCCUCUGUCCCGUGAGGAAGCUUUGCGACUGAUUUCCAUGAGAGCUACAGUCAGACCAAGCAAGGAGCUGGCACUUCACUGCUAUUUAGAAAGUGCUUUGAGAUCCUCAGGUGUCAGGAACCUUGAACGUGACUGUCCCUGUGUGCAGCAUGGACUCACUAGCCGUUGCUCUGCGCCGGGUGAGGAUGGACAUCAUGGUCAGCAAAGAGCGCUGGCCUUACCGGAGCAGUUUGUUUCCCUGCAAGAUUUAGACCCAGUGCCACACAUCUGGAAAGGAGACACAGAUGAAUAUAUUUUAUCUGGAUUUUCAUGUUCAGUUCUGUGAACACGUGAAGAGCUGGAGGGAAUUGCUCCGCUCUGCUGAAAGUGUUUAAGACAAUAGUAAGAAAAGAUGGAGGACUGCUGUGGAUUAUUUUUUUCAUCGCACUGGAUUUUGUCCUGCUUGGGAACGUUGGUGCUAAAAGCAUCUGCUACUCUUCUAACAGGAGAGAUCCACGUAAAUCCCGGCUUAGGUCGUCAUCCCUCCGCAGGCCAGACAGAGAUGUUGUGCACUGAUUCCAGGGGAGAAUUCCCCCCGGAGCACUCGUGCUUGUGCUACCCGUGUUGGGGUAGCCCUCUGUGUUCUUUGUGUAAAUCACACAUCUCUGCACUGACUCACUAGCAAAAUACUGGAGCUCUAGAAAUUAUGUGCAUUGCUCUCAUGAGAAUAUUUUUUAUCAAUUGGCCCAUAAAAGUUCACCAAGGAAUUACGCGAGUACCAAUAUAUCUCUACCAGUCUCCCACUGAUGAUAGCAUUUAUUUGGUAUAGAUAAAAUUGAAUUUUAAUUUGUUCUCUUUCACGCACAGUUUUAUUUUCCGGGUGUAUAUAUGGUGCUUACAUAAAACGAUGAGUCUUCUGGGA